rnacentral:tRNA from 1 species
GGAGAGGUGCCAGAGCGGCUGAAUGGGCUGGUUUCGAAAACCAGUGUGGCCGAUUCGGUCACCGAGGGUUCGAAUCCCUCCCUCUCCGCCA